UUUUUUUUAACUUUGACUACUUGUAAUGUUUUACGUGUUAACUAUGACUCUCUGACCAAAAUUUGUAAAAGCAACAGUUGUAGGUGAAAGUUUACAUGUCCCUAAUCAUAACUUUUAUUCUCAGCGUCAGAUUCUAAUCACAAAGAGUUGAACCAUUUCCCAUCCAACAGUUACAAGUGAAAAAGAUGCGUGCAUCGUUUACAUAGUAACACUCCCCUCCAUUUUGCCGAACCCAAAUAAAAAUCCACAAAAUAGAAUUUCAAAACAACUACACAAUCUGUUCCCUUUUCUUUGUCUUCUCCGCCAACAUAUCAACAAUCAACCGUCGCUCCAUGGCAACGUCGCCUCGCACAUUUCUUGAAAUCCAUUGCUUAUAAACAUUUAUAUCAAUGAUCAGCCGUCCCUUCUCUUUGUCUUCUCCAUCGACUUUUCUUACUUUAUUGCCUAAUAAUGUUUAAAUUCCUCAUAUUAAAUUCAAAAAAAAAAAAAUGAAACAAGCAAAGGAAAGAGAUAUAAUAUAUUCACCAAUUAUAACAAAAAUAAGAUCAACAUUGAAAAUAACAAUAAUAAUAAUAAUAAUGAUGCUAUCAUAAAACUAUUUUUGUGUGUGUUUCGGAAAGAGAGAUAGAAUAAAGGUAAGUAUAAAUCUCGAGAAAGUGGGCUAGGGGGAAAUCAGUGGAGAGAUGAGAGAAAACUUGGUCCAUGUGCUUGGAGUCCUUUCACCGUGACGUCCAAAAGUGUAGAAUGAUCGGAGAGCACUUCCCAGUGGUUCGAUUAAGCUUAGCCUUCGAUUUUACCUCUUCAAUGCUCUUUCUCAAUCACCUGCCAUUUUUUCUAUGAGAUUCUAUUCAUUGGCGGACCUAUGCAUGGUCCUGGUGGGUCAA
rnacentral:lncRNA from 1 species